GACCCACACAUCUACUCCGGUACCUGAUACGGCCGGGGAGA
rfam:Nocardioides sp. Soil797 contig_2, whole genome shotgun sequence.